AGCGAACGCUGGCGGCAGGCCUAACACAUGCAAGUCGAACGAACUCUUCGGAGUUAGUGGCGGACGGGUGAGUAACACGUGGGAACGUGCCUUUAGGUUCGGAAUAACUCAGGGAAACUUGUGCUAAUACCGAAUGUGCCCUUCGGGGGAAAGAUUUAUCGCCUUUAGAGCGGCCCGCGUCUGAUUAGCUAGUUGGUGAGGUAAAGGCUCACCAAGGCGACGAUCAGUAGCUGGUCUGAGAGGAUGAUCAGCCACAUUGGGACUGAGACACGGCCCAAACUCCUACGGGAGGCAGCAGUGGGGAAUCUUGCGCAAUGGGCGAAAACCUGACGCAGCCAUGCCGCGUGAAUGAUGAAGGUCUUAGGAUUGUAAAAUGCUUUCACCGGGGACGAUAAUGAUGGUACCCGGAGAAGAAGCCCCGGCUAACUUCGUGCCAGCAGCCGCCGUAA
rnacentral:rRNA from 1 species